rnacentral:rRNA from 1 species
AUUGAACGCUGGCGGCAGGCCUAACACAUGCAAGUCGAACGAGUGGCGGACGGGUGAGUAAUGUCUGGGAAACUGCCCGAUGGAGGGGGAUAACUACUGGAAACGGUAGCUAAUACCGCAUACCAUCGGAUGUGCCCAGAUGGGAUUAGCUAGUAGGUGGGGUAACGGCUCACCUAGGCGACGAUCCCUAGCUGGUCUGAGAGUAUGACCGGCCCAUCUGAAACUGUGCGACGGUCCAGACUCCUACGCGCGGCAGCGUUGGUGAAGUGUGCACGAGGGGCGCAUGCCUGAUACAGCCAUGCCGCGUGUAUGAAUAGGGCCUUCUGGUUGUAGAGUACUUUCAGCGAGGAGGCGUUACUCGCAGAAGAAGCACCGGCUAACUCCGUGCCAGCAGCCGCGGUAAUUC